AUUGAACGCUGGCGGCAUGCCUUACACAUGCAAGUCGAACGGUAACGGGCCUUCGGGUGCCGACGAGUGGCGAACGGGUGAGUAAUACAUCGGAACGUGCCCGAUCGUGGGGGAUAACGAGGCGAAAGCUUUGCUAAUACCGCAUACGAUCUACGGCUGAAAGCAGGGGACCGCAAGGCCUUGCGCGGACGGAGCGGCCGAUGGCAGAUUAGGUAGUUGGUGGGAUAAAAGCUUACCAAGCCGACGAUCUGUAGCUGGUCUGAGAGGAUGAUCAGCCACACUGGGACUGAGACACGGCCCAGACUCCUACGGGAGGCAGCAGUGGGGAAUUUUGGACAAUGGGCGCAAGCCUGAUCCAGCCAUGCCGCGUGCAGGAUGAAGGCCUUCGGGUUUUAAACUGCUUUUGUACGGAACGAAAAGCCUUCUUUUAAUACAGGAGGGUCAUGACGGUACCGUAAGAAUAAGCACCGGCUAACUACGUG
rnacentral:rRNA from 1 species